AUUGAACGCUGGCGGCAUGCCUUACACAUGCAAGUCGUACGAGAAAGGGGCUUCGGCCCUGAGUAGAGUGGCGCACGGGUGAGUAACGCGUGGGUAAUCUGCCCUUGGAUUUGGGAUAACUCUGCGAAAGUGGAGCUAAUACCGGAUAGUCUGGCUUUAAUUGAUAAGUCGGUAAAGGAUGCCUCUGCAUAUGCAUUCGUCCAAGGAUGAGCCCGCGUCUCAUUAGCUAGUUGGUAGGGUAAUGGCCUACCAAGGCAACGAUGAGUAGCUGGUCUGAGAGGAUGAUCAGCCACACUGGAACUGAAACACGGUCCAGACUCCUACGGGAGGCAGCAGUGGGGAAUAUUGCGCAAUGGGCGAAAGCCUGACGCAGCAACGCCGUGUGAGGGAUGAAGGC
rnacentral:rRNA from 1 species